rnacentral:lncRNA from 1 species
ACAUCACAUGAGGAAGCUUUACUGUUUCCCCUUCUCCUGAAAUGUGUCUGGGAUGGAGAGUGUGGAGAGUGGGCCCACCUUUAUCUGGGUCCACUCAGGCUGCUGCAGAGACUACCCCAGACUGGGUGGCUGAUAGACAAGACAUUCAUUUUCCACACUUCCUGAGACUGAGAAGUCUGAGAUGAAGGAUCUUGGAGGACCUGGGGAUCAACAGCCAGACUUGGAUGCUCAGGAUGAUUUGGGAUGUGCUUCUAACUACCUGUACUGUCUGGAGAAACCUAGAAGCAAGGAAGCUGCCACCAUGAUGCAGCGGGGAGUCCGAGGCCCUGGGAGGUCAUAUGACUCAUUCAAGGUCAUCCUGCUGUGGCAGAGAUGCGAUGAAGCCCUGGCUUUGGCCUUCUUGGCAGCCAACCUCGAAGCACCACAUCGGGCUUUGAAAUGUGCGGGGCCUUUGAGAUUCAGCGCAUCUGAAUCUGAAUUUAUGCCGUCUCACUUGCUGGAAUCUACUGAUCUGUCCACUGUUCCUGGAAGAAAUACUUUGUUUUCAUGUGCCAGUUGCCUUUCCAGCCUGACUGUCAGCCCAAGGUCGCAGAGAAGAUCUGAUUGCAUGUCCUUGAUUUUGCUGCUCCCAUUCCGAGAACCAGCUUCCUCCUCUGGAAGGUCGACUGAGGGGGGCUUGACUGGACUUGGCUCAAGGCUGCAAGUGGUCCAGGUCUGCUCUGUGUGUCUUUCAUCCUCCCCAACCAGUUAGAAAACGUGAUAUCCUCUUCUACGAUGAUGAUGGAAAUACAAAAUUGGUGUUCAGGCACUUCAGGACCUCUCACCUCUGUGAAGGGACUUGGGAGACACCCAGAAAAUGGACCCACUGGGCCGCUCCAGGUGUUUCCUUGCCUCCUCUUCUGAAAAUUCGGGACUGCCAUACAGACACCUCCCGGCUCUUCUGUGUGGUCAGGCGGUGAGUGGUGCCAGAAUGCAGGGGCCUAUGCUUGGAGCCAUGGGGGGUUCCAGAUGUCCUGUGUUCCCUAUCUGCCUCCUCCUACCUGCCCCUUUAUUAAGCACCAUGGCAUCCAUCAGCUCAUCUGAUUUUCACAGCAGCCCUUCCAGGCCAGAACAGCUAUUAUUGAUCCCAUGAUACAGAGGGGGAACUGAUGCUAGGAGAGGUUGUGAAUUUCACUCAUUCACUCAUUCAUUCACUCAUUCAGCCGUCCUUUUGGUUGGAGCAGCGUUGUGAAAGGCACUAAGGACAGAGAUAUGAGUAAGGUGUAGCCCCUCACCCUCAGGGACCCAUGGCCUUGCACAGAUGGAAGGUGGCAAUGACCUGACCACCCUUGGAGUGUCUCUGUCUCCCUAGGCAGUGCUCACUGGCAGAAUGCUAGUUCUAAAACAUGGGCCAAACUCACUUCUAGAGCUUUGGAUGGGCUGAUCUCAGUGUAAAGCCCCAGACUCUCUGCUAAGCUUUCUAGUCUCCCACCAUCUUCACCAUACUGAGACCCGUGGAACCUCAUGCUUCCCAACUUGCCACACAUGUGACAACCCCACUCACUGCCCACCCAACAGCCAUGCCUUCCUUCUACUCACCUGUCUUCCCGGCUCCCAGAGCUCUGAUGCUGUGGGGGGUGGGCAGAGACUCUGGCACCUAUCCUGUCAGCAGCCCCGGUGUAAACUGAUCAUGGUUAUCCUAACGCCCUUUGCAGGCACCUCCCAGUCUUCCUCACAGGUGGGGGUGACCAGCCCAUCAGUGAGAAUAGGGGACAGUUAUGGACCAAAUGUCUGUGCCUCCUUCAAGUUCAUACGUUCAGACCUUAGCCUCUUGCCCCUGAUUGUAUUAGGAGGUGGGGCCUUUGCGAGGUGAUAAGGUCGUGAGGCUGGAGCCUCAUGAAUGGGAUCAGUGUCCUAAUAAAAGGGACCCCAGCGAGCUCGUGUUCCUCUUUCCCACCUGAUAUUUUAAGAAGUUGGCUAUCUGCAACCAGAAGGGGACUCUCACCGGAACCCGACCUUGCUGGCACCCCGAUCUCAGCUUUUCAGCCUCCAGAACUGUGAGAAAUAUAUUUCUGUAGUUACAAGCCACCUCGUCUAUGAUGCUUUGUGAUAGCAGCCAGCACGGGCUUCAACAGGGGUAUGUGCUGGAGAAUUUCAGGAUAGAUGGAGUCUCUCCAUCCUCUUCUUUGUAUCUUGAGCUUGGUUGUAAGCAGAUGAGAUGUUCGGAGCAGCAGCAGCCAUCAUUUGAUCAGGUGAUAACACACCAAUUGCAAAAAGCCAGUACACCAAGAAGAGCUGAGCAGAAAUGUGGGUGAGCCCGGGUGUUUGUGGGCAUCAGUGGCCUAGGACCAGGCUGCUCCCAGGUAGUGAGGGAGGAGAUGCCUCUCAGCUGAUACCACUGCUCUUAGGGGCUCACUGGUUUGCACUGGAUACAUCCUAGCAGACGCCUGAGUCAGCCUCUGCCACCUCCUGUCUAGAAUGCCCUCUCCUCUGGUUUCGUUCUGAAAACUUUUUCUCACCUUUUAAGACCCAACCCGAGUCCUUUUCUGAGAAAAAUUUACCCCAUCCUGACCACAGCGUCGAGCGCCAGGUCAUCAGAGCCCCUGUGAUACUGAGUUCAGCCUGCUUGUAGUCUCCGCCUGCCAUGGUGGGUGCUACCUGCAGUCAUACCAUUCACAGGGCAGUGGGUGCCACAGCCAGGCCCCCUGCUUGUCCUGGCAUAGCCGCCUGAGGAAGGGAUCAAGGGCCAUUCUCUCUCUAGGCAGCUGGGGCUGGGGCCCGUCACAAACUAAGCCCCGAGCAGGGCCUGCUGGGGGAUGAAGUCAUGUGGAAAAACACUCAAGUUAGAACAAAACUGUCUUUCUGCAAAUGACUUCAUCAUGUCGCCAGAAGGCUCGGAUCACUCCACCUCUCACCUUUUCCCGCCCGCCCAUGGGAGCGGGAAGACCAGUUCCUCGGGUCCUGUUACAUCACUCAGGCAAAAGUAAACGUUACCGAGACCCACCCACCAGGGGCUGGAGAGCUGAUGCCUUCAUCUCCCUCCAGAGGCAGGACUUCUCUGACCCCUCAGGCUGGGAAGGCCUGGAGGGCAAGCUGGGGCCUCCUCUACCUCUGUGAUCUCAGGGCCCUGCUUAGAGACCAGCAAAAACAUAAAAUAAUACAAAACCCACUUGUGGAGUUCCCCUUGUGGCUCAGUGGAAAUGAAUGCAAUUAGUAUCCAUGAGGAUGCAGGUUCGAUCCCUGGCCCUGCUCAGUGGGGUAGAGAUCCUGCGUUGCUGUGGCUGUGGUGCAGGCCGGCAGCUGUAUAUCCGAUUCGACCCCUAGCCUGGGAACUUCCAAAUGCCACA